rnacentral:rRNA from 1 species
CGGCUAACUACGUGCCAGCAGCCGCGGUAAUACGUAGGGUGCGAGCGUUAAUCGGAAUUACUGGGCGUAAAGCGUGCGCAGGCGGUUUUGUAAGACAGGCGUGAAAUCCCCGGGCUCAACCUGGGAACUGCGCUUGUGACUGCAUCACUUGAGUACGGCAGAGGGGGGUGGAAUUCCACGUGUAGCAGUGAAAUGCGUAGAGAUGUGGAGGAACACCGAUGGCGAAGGCAGCCCCCUGGGUCGAUACUGACGCUCAUGCACGAAAGCGUGGGUAGCAAACAGGAUUAGAUACCCUGGUAGUCCACGCCCUAAACGAUGUCAACUAGGUGUUGGGUGGGUAAAACCAUUUAGUACCGUAGCUAACGCGUGAAGUUGACCGCCUGGGGAGUACGGCCGCAAGGUUAAAACUCAAAGGAAUUGACGGGGACCCGCACAAGCGGUGGAUGAUGUGGAUUAAUUCGAUGCAACGCGAAAAACCUUACCUACCCUUGACAUGUCCAGAAGCCUGAAGAGAUUUGGGUGUGCCCGAAAGGGAACUGGAACACAGGUGCUGCAUGGCUGUCGUCAGCUCGUGUCGUGAGAUGUUGGGUUAAGUCCCGCAACGAGCGCAACCCUUGUCGUUAAUUGCCAUCAUUUAGUUGGGCACUUUAACGAGACUGCCGGUGACAAACCGGAGGAAGGUGGGGAUGACGUCAAGUCCUCAUGGCCCUUAUGGGUAGGGCUUCACACGUCAUACAAUGGUCGGUACAGAGGGUUGCCAAGCCGCGAGGUGGAGCCAAUCCCAGAAAGCCGAUCGUAGUCCGGAUUGGAGGCUGCAACUCGCCUCCAUGAAGUCGGAAUCGCUAGUAAUCGCGGAUCAGCAUGUCGCGGUGAAUACGUUCCCGGGUCUUGUACACACCGCCCGUCACACCAUGGGAGUGGGUUCUGCCAGAAGUAGGUAGCCUAACCGCAAGGAGGGCGCUUACCACGGCAGGGUUCAUGACUGGGGUGAAGUCGUAACAAGGUAGCCGUAGGGGAACCUGCGGCUG